CAUCGGCAUUGUGUGCGUUAUCUUUAACAAAAAUUAGACCAUUCUGUAUAUCUAUCUGUAAAAAAAAGUGUUAUCAUGUUCUGUAAGAUGUCUAUGAGUUUACUUGGUAUAGCAUUUCUUUUCUUAAUCCUUGUUGCGGACGGUGAAGCUCAGUUAAAUUUUUCUACCGGGUGGGGCCAAGGUAAAAGGAGUCAAGAUACGCGAAUUAGAUCGAGUAAUAUGGAUUGUUCGCCGCAAGGUGCAUCGCUGGAACAAUUAUUAAAGUUAUAUUCGUUUAUACAGAUGGAAGCUCAAAGGAUCUUGGAUUGCCAAACCUUGAACAAGUGAACCACGAAAAUGUCAUUGGUCUUAUCAAAAUCGGAUUUGUGCCAGAAUAUAUUGUCAGCUUAAAGUAAAAUAAUACAAUUUGAAUAACGUAAUAAGUUGCCAUAUAUCUUAUAAUUUUUUUUCUAUUGCGUAGAUGACAGAUUAGUGUACAUGGCAGAUAUCGAUGUAGAUCAUUUUUUAUUUAUUAUAUAUAUAUAUAUAUAUAUCUCAAAUAAUGUUUGAAUUUCCU